GCAGACACAUUCCAGCCAAUCAGCAGCAGACCCUCCCUCCCAGACCCUCCCACCUCCUGGACAGCAUCCAUUGUGAAGCUGCAUUCUUAGUGAGCUGUCCAGGAGGUGGGAGGGUUUGGGAGGGAGGGUCUGCUGCUGAUUGGCUGGAAUGUGUCUG